UGAUUUAUGCAGAGAGGGAGACACGAUGAUCACCAAGGUGGUUUUCCCAGGGUGAGGAAAUGCAUUGUACUCUGGGUGUACUGACCCCUGCAGUUUCCCCAAAUGUGGGAAACUCGACCACGCAAUUUGUGGUAGUGGGGGACUGCAUUCAUUCUCUCCCCUG